CAUCAGGAGGUUAGUGCAAUGGCAUAAGCCAGCUUGACUGCGAGCGUGACGGCGCGAGCAGGUGCGAAAGCAGGUCAUAGUGAUCCGGUGGUUCUGAAUGGAAGGGCCAUCGCUCAACGGAUAAAAGGUACUCCGGGGAUAACAGGCUGAUACCGCCCAAGAGUUCAUAUCGACGGCGGUGUUUGGCACCUCGAUGUCGGCUCAUCACAUCCUGGGGCUGAAGUAGGUCCCAAGGGUAUGGCUGUUCGCCAUUUAAAGUGGUACGCGAGCUGGGUUUAGAACGUCGUGAGACAGUUCGGUCCCUAUCUGCCGUGGGCGCUGGAGAACUGAGGGGGGCUGCUCCUAGUACGAGAGGACCGGAGUGGACGCAUCACUGGUGUUCGGGUUGUCAUGCCAAUGGCACUGCCCGGUAGCUAAAUGCGGAAGAGAUAAGUGCUGAAAGCAUCUAAGCACGAAACUUGCCCCGAGAUGAGUUCUCCCUGACCCUUUAAGGGUCCUGAAGGAACGUUGAAGACGACGACGUUGAUAGGCCGGGUGUGUAAGCGCAGCGAUGCGUUGAGCUAACCGGUACUAAUGAACCGUGAGGCUUAACCUU
rnacentral:rRNA from 1 species